rnacentral:rRNA from 1 species
GACGAACGCUGGCGGCGUGCUUAACACAUGCAAGUCGAACGAAGAGCGAUGGAAGCUUGCUUCUAUCAAUCUUAGUGGCGCACGGGUGAGUAACGCGUAAUCAACCUGCCCUUCAGAGGGGGACAACAGUUGGAAACGACUGCUAAUACCGCAUACGAUCUAACCUCGGCAUCGAGGAUAGAUGAAAGGUGGCCUCUACAUGUAAGCUAUCACUGAAGGAGGGGAUUGCGUCUGAUUAGCUAGUUGGAGGGGUAACGGCCCACCAAGGCGAUGAUCAGUAGCCGGUCUGAGAGGAUGAACGGCCACAUUGGGACUGAGACACGGCCCAGACUCCUACGGGAGGCAGCAGUGGGGAAUCUUCCGCAAUGGACGAAAGUCUGACGGAGCAACGCCGCGUGAGUGAUGACGGCCGUCGGGUUGUAAAGCUCUGUUAAUCGGGACGAAAGGCCUUCUUGCGAAUAGUUAGAAGGAUUGACGGUACCGGAAUAGAAAGCCACGGCUAACUACGUG